GGCUGGUCCGAUGGUAGUGGGUUAUCAGAACUUAUUAACAUUAGUGUCACUAAAGUUGGUAUACAACCCCCCACUGCUAAAUUUGACUGGCUAAAA
rnacentral:Y_RNA from 1 species